rnacentral:rRNA from 1 species
AGGAAUAUUGCACAAUGGGCGCAAGCCUGAUGCAGCAACGCCGCGUGCGGGACGAAGGCCUUCGGGUCGUAAACCGCUUUUCUGGGGAAAGAGCAAGGACGGUACCUCAGGAAUAAGUCUCGGCUAACUACGUGCCAGCAGCCGCGGUAAAACGUAGGAGGCGAGCGUUAUCCGGAUUUACUGGGCGUAAAGCGCACGCAGGCGGCUCUGUGAGUCGGACGUGAAAGCUCCCGGCUUAACCGGGAGAGGCCGUUCGAUACUGCGGGGCUUGAGGUAGGGAGAGGAAUGCGGAAUUCCCGGUGUAGUGGUGGAAUGCGUAGAUAUCGGGAGGAACACCUGUGGCGAAAGCGGCAUUCUGGCCCUCACCUGACGCUGAGGUGCGAAAGCGUGGG